GAGGAACGCUGGCGGCAUGCCUAAUACAUGCAAGUCGAACGAGAGGAAGGAAAGCUUGCUUUCCUGAAUCUAGUGGCGAACGGGUGAGUAACACGUAGGUAACCUGCCCAUGUGCCCGGGAUAACUUCUGGAAACGGAUGCUAAAACCGGAUAGGUAGCAGACAAGCAUUUGACUGCUAUUAAAGUGGCCUGGGACAUGAACAUGGAUGGACCUGCGGUGCAUUAGCUGGUUGGUGAGGUAACGGCCCACCAAGGCGACGAUGCAUAGCCGGCCUGAGAGGGCGGACGGCCACAUUGGGACUGAGACACGGCCCAAACUCCUACGGGAGGCAGCAGUAGGGAAUUUUCGUCAAUGGGGGGAACCCUGAACGAGCAAUGCCGCGUGAGUGAGGAAGGUCUUCGGAUCGUAAAGCUCUGUUGUAAGAGAAAAACGGCACUCAUAGGGAAUGAUGAGUGAGUGAUGGUAUCUUACCAGAAAGUCACGGCUAACUACGUGCCAGCCGCCGCCGUAA
rnacentral:rRNA from 1 species